rnacentral:rRNA from 1 species
AUUGACCUCGGAUCAGGUAGGAAUACCCGCUGAACUUAAGCAUAUCAAUAAGCGGAGGA